UAUAGAUGGCCAUUACAAUGACCAAUAUAACUCAAUGACCAAUACGACUAUCUUAUCUUAGAUUAACUAGCUGAACAACACAGUUUGUUUUGCUACAGGCUGCA